rnacentral:rRNA from 1 species
AGAGUUUGAUCCUGGCUCAGGAUGAACGCUAGCUACAGGCUUAACACAUGCAAGUCGAGGGGAAACGAUAUUGGAAGCUUGCUUCCGAUAGGCGUCGACCGGCGUACGGGUGAGUAACGCGUAUCCAACCUGCCCACCACUUGGGGAUAACCUUGCGAAAGUAAGACUAAUACCCAAUGACGUCUCUAGAAGACAUCUGAAAGAGAUUAAAGAUUUAUCGGUGAUGGAUGGGGAUGCGUCUGAUUAGCUUGUUGGCGGGGUAACGGCCCACCAAGGCGACGAUCAGUAGGGGUUCUGAGAGGAAGGCCCCCCACAUUGGAACUGAGACACGGUCCAAACUCCUACGGGAGGCAAGCA